GAUCGAAGAUCUGAAAAAUUGAUGGAACGUUGAAGUUGAAUAAUUUUCGGGGCGAGAAUACUCGUUUUUUUGAGGAUGAAACUCUGGAGAAUGGGAAUUGAAAUUUUGGAUUUUCGUAUUAGGAUUUUUCACCGUGAAGAGUUGCAAUUAUUUUUCAUCGACAGACACAGGCACAGAGAUAAUGGUUUGUCAAAUUAUUUGAUUGGUGGAAAAAUAUUCGUCUAAUCGUUUUCAAAAAAAAUCUUCACUUCAGCUUUGCUUCUUCAUGAGUUACUUCUUUAAGCUUGAAAUGCCCUGUCCAACAUUUAGAGAUGUUACAACAAGAGAAGUAAAAGUUUUUUUUCAUUUUCUUCUCGACUGUCCUUGUUAAGAAAAAUAAAUUAAAUCUGUGCAAGGCACAUAAGGUCUUCUAACUUUAUUUAAAAGUUAAAGGGCGCAUAGAACUUAAAUUGGAUAACAGGAAUUGGAUAAUAUAUAUAACUGUACGAACAGAGAAUAAACGAAAGAUGUAAAAUAAAUUCUUUACGGCUAUAAAAAAAAAAAAAAAAA